rnacentral:rRNA from 1 species
AGCGUUGUCCGGAAUCAUUGGGCGUAAAGAGCGUGUAGGUGGCUCGGUAAGUCCGCUGUGAAAGUCCAGGGCUCAACCCUGGAAUGCCGGUGGAAACUGUCGAGCUAGAGUCCGGAAGAGGCGAGUGGAAUUCCUGGUGUAGCGGUGAAAUGCGCAGAUAUCAGGAGGAACACCAAUGGCGAAGGCAGCUCGCUGGGACGGUACUGACACUGAGACGCGAAAGCGUGGGGAGCAAACAGG